UUCCGUAGGGUGAACCUGCGGAAGGAUCAUUACCGAGUUUUCGGGCUUCGGGCUCGACUCUCCCACCCUUUGUGAACGUACCUCUGUUGCUUUGGCGGCUCCGGCCGCCAAAGGACCUCCAAACUCCAGUCAGUAAACGCAGACGUCUGAUAAACAAGUUAAUAAACUAAAACUUUCAACAACGGAUCUCUUGGUUCUGGCAUCGAUGAAGAACGCAGCGAAAUGCGAUAAGUAAUGUGAAUUGCAGAAUUCAGUGAAUCAUCGAAUCUUUGAACGCACAUUGCGCCCCUUGGUAUUCCGGGGGGCAUGCCUGUUCGAGCGUCAUUACAACCCUCAAGCUCUGCUUGGAAUUGGGCACCGUCCUCACUGCGGACGCGCCUCAAAGACCUCGGCGGUGGCUGUUCAGCCCUCAAGCGUAGUAGAAUACACCUCGCUUUGGAGUGGUUGGCGUCGCCCGCCGGACGAACCUUCUGAACUUUCUCAAGGUGACCUCGGAU
rnacentral:rRNA from 1 species